rnacentral:piRNA from 1 species
UAAAACUAUUGAGCUAUCAAA